rnacentral:rRNA from 1 species
CCUACGGGUGGCAGCAGUCGAGAAUCAUUCACAAUGGGGGAAACCCUGAUGGUGCGACGCCGCGUGGGGGAAUGAAGGUCUUCGGAUUGUAAACCCCUGUCAUGUGGGAGCAAAUUAAAAAGAUAGUACCACAAGAGGAAGAGACGGCUAACUCUGUGCCAGCAGGCGCGGUAAUACAGAGGUCUCAAGCGUUGUUCGGAAUCACUGGGCGUAAAGCGUGCGUAGGCUGUUUCGUAAGUCGUGUGUGAAAGGCGCGGGCUCAACCCGCGGACGGCACAUGAUACUGCGAGACUAGAGUGAUGGAGAGGGAGCCGGAAUUCUCGGUGUAGCAGUGAAAUGCGUAGAUAUCGGGAGGAACACUCGUGGCGAAGGCGGGUUCCUGGACAUUAACUGACGCUGAGGCACGAAGGCCAGGGGAGCGAAAGGGAUUAGAUACCCUAGUAGUC